GACGUAGGAUGCGAGCGUUGUCCGGAUUUAUUGGGCGUAAAGAGUUCGUAGGUGGUUCGUUAAGUCUGGUGUAAAGACUGGGCUCAACCCUGGGAUCGCACUGGAUACUGGCGGACUGGAGUGUGGUAGAGGCAAGCGGAAUUCCCAGUGUAGCGGUGAAAUGCGUAGAUAUUGGAAGAACACCGGUGGCGCAAGCGGCUUGCUG
rnacentral:rRNA from 1 species